rnacentral:rRNA from 1 species
AAAAUGCGAUACUUGGUGUGAAUUGCAGAAUCCCGUGAACCAUCGAGUCUUUGAACGCAAGUUGCGCCCGAAUCCAUUUGGUUGAGGGCACGUCUGCCUGGGUGUCACGUACGCACGCCUCCCGCAAGCCUUCCCAUUUUUGUGGACGAAGGGUCUCGCGGGAGCAGAUAUUGGUAUCCCGUGCCCGUUCCGCGCGGCUUGCCUAAAAACGGAGAUCCGGCGGCGAAACGUCACGUCUAGUGGUGGUUGAUGAGGCCUAACGGCCGACCAGUUCGCGGCGUGAUCGUUUGUCGCACGGAAGUCUCGGACGACACCUUGGACGCCCUCUAACGGGCGUGCUACUGUCGCGACCCCAGGUCAGGCGGGACUACCCGCUGAAUUUAA